AGUGAACGCUGGCGGUAGGCCUAACACAUGCAAGUCGAACGGCAGCACAGUAAGAGCUUGCUCUUACGGGUGGCGAGUGGCGGACGGGUGAGGAAUACAUCGGAAUCUACUUUUUCGUGGGGGAUAACGUAGGGAAACUUACGCUAAUACCGCAUACGACCUACGGGUGAAAGCAGGGGAUCUUCGGACCUUGCGCGAUUGAAUGAGCCGAUGUCGGAUUAGCUAGUUGGCGGGGUAAAGGCCCACCAAGGCGACGAUCCGUAGCUGGUCUGAGAGGAUGAUCGGCCACACUGGAACUGAGACACGGUCCAGGCUCCUACGAGAGGGAGCAGUAGGGAAUGUUGGACAAUGGGCGCAAGCCUGAUCCAGCCAUACCGCGUGGGUGAAGAAGGCCUUCGGGUUGUAAAGCCCUUUUGUUGGGAAAGAAAAGCAGCAGGUUAAUACCCCGCUGUUCUGACGGUACCCAAAGAAUAAGCACCGGCUAACUUCGUG
rnacentral:rRNA from 1 species